UUUUUUUUUUUUUGAGGGAAAAAUCAUGGAGUAAAGAGUGAAGUAUGUAAAGGAGGUAGAACUGUUAGUGAAAUCCUAGUGACAAACCUGAUGUCAGGAGGCAUUCUCUCACUCUUGUCACUGAACUGCUCUAUACAAGAUUCUCCCUUGGUAACUUCUGUCAAUUUCUGUCUAUUUUUACUCUUCCUCUCAAUCCACUGGUGGUUUCAAAGUAUUUGGGGGUUGGUUCUCUGGGAGGCAGGAAAUGUCACAGAUCACCUUUUAUACUUUGGUCUAGAAAGUACACUAGGAAUCACUACCAUUCAUUGAAUACCUGCAAUAAUAAUGAUUAUCAGGAAAUCAAAGGGAUAACUGAAUUUUAUUGAGUGUCUACUACAUGUUCCAUGCUAAGCACUUCACAUGCAUUAUUUUAUUUAGCCUUCAUACAACCACCCUGUGAUGUUUAAUUUGCCUAAAGCUAUAUAACCACAUGGUGGCAAAGUCAGAUUCUGACUGCAAAGUCCAUGUUCUUAACCAGAUAGGGAUCACUCAUUCUUUUAUUCAUUUGCACAAUCACUAUGUACCAGGCCUUGUGCUGGCUACUGAGAUACAGAGAUAAAAGACAAAGACCAUGCUCUCAGACAGCUCACACUAGCAUGAGCAGACAAAUAAGCCAAAGGUCACAUAUGAUGUGCCAGGUGUAGUAACAGAAGGGAUUGCUGGGUGAUUUGGGCAUAUCCAGGAGGGACACCUAAUCCAACCUAGGGAGGGUACAAAGAAGAUUCCCAGAGGAAAUAGUACCUCAGUCUUGAAGACUAGGGAGAAGUCUGUCAAAUGAAGGAGGACCUUAAGGGCAUGGAGAGGAGUGCAGCAGGCACAGAGACGUGGAAGCAUGGGAGAGCAUAGGCAUGUUCAAGAGUCUUCCAAGUAGGUCAGAAUGGAUUGCAUGCAGAAUAGAAAGCCCGACAGCAAACAGAAAGAGGAUUGGCAAGGAGUGAGGCUGAAAAACUGGGUACAAACUGAGGAGGGGCUUUUCUGCCACCGUAAAGAGUUUGAGUAAUAUCCUGAAGGCCACGGUGGCCCCUAAGAGCUUGUAAGCAAGUGUGUGAUGUUCAAGGGGGAAGCCUUACUGCUUAUGUACAUGCCACUCCUAGAAGGGAAAAAGCAGGGCAGCAACACUUCCAUCACCGCUCCUCAAAGGAAAGGGACUGAUUUAUCUUUUGGGUGAAAUCCAGACAGGAGCACAAAUAUAUGUGGCUACAGCAGAUAUGCUCUAGACUCUCUCAACACAAUUCCAACUGCACUUCUGUGUUACUUACACUUAUGUGUGAGACCCAGGAGUGACUACAGGGUGCUCUAGGACACGAAGCAGACACAUUUGCACGAGGCUUGGAAGAACUGAAAGAUAGCUGGUAUCUGCCACAUGAAUAGACAGUAGCUCUUCUGGGGCAGCUUGAAGAUCCUCCCAUGUGUCCCUAGCAACAGUGUCAUUUCCACCCUAACAAUCCCAUGAUGUGGUUAAGUAACUGUCCUCAUAUUCAAGCUUGGCUCCCAGGACCCUUCUAGAAUGUGGUAGGCUACCCAACACCCAUUAAUAAAUCCCUUUCUGCUUAAACUGUGUCAUUAUCAACUAAGAACCUAAUUGAUAUAAUAGAACACUUCCUUUCUUUCUCUUAUUCCAAGCUGCCUGAUCUCAGAGAUCCUCGUUCACUGCUGACCCAAGAAAUAAGCCUAUGAGGCCACUUGUGCUCCUACAGGGGGGAAGGGAAACCUGUGUAUAUCCAACUCAGACCGACAGAAAGAGAAAGUUCAGGAGUCCUGAUGUAGCUGCACAACCUGCACAACCUCCAAACAACCUUUAACAGAAAUAAGACCCAGGUCUUUGUCUUUGACUAGCUCCUGUAUUCAUCUCCUACUUGGGUUUUAACUAUGAGGGAGAAAGGACAUGAUUAAAUAUCACUCUCACCCAUCAAAAUCCCCCCACCAUCUGAAAAAAAGAAUACAUUUGUGCUUUGGAAGCAGGGAAACCAGUCAGAAUCAGCCAUUAGGCUUAAAUAAACCCAAUUCCAGAGUUAGUCGGAGUAAGGAAGGAGAUGCUUCUGUGCUAAUCAGAAAGGCAAUGGGAGCCCAUGGGGUGCAGAAACUUCAGCUGGGAGAUGCAAUCUGUUGAUUACCAGGAGACCCUUUUGCAAAGGAGGCCAUAAUCUCAAACUUGUAUUAUUUGCAGGGGGCUGAUUUUCCCCUUGACUCUCACAGAGUUGCCAACACACCUGCUUCCAAAGCAUGUGUUCUCCCCACCUAGACCUCUUAGAGCUAAGAGUGAAGGUUGAGUAAGAAAUAGAAAUAAUUAAUAGGGCCACAGAGGACUAUACAGGGCAUGAGCUAAAUUAAAGAAAAAUCAACCAAAAGUCCCAAGGUUGCUAGUUCCUGAGCUCUGUGUCAUCAGCAAGCUCAACUCUUCUCCCUGCCUUUUCCCAUCACUAAAAUAAGGAGAGAAAGAUUAUAAACACAACUGUCUUUACUGAGCAACUAUUUCACAUGUCACACAACAGUGGGCGGUGGGAAGAAAAAGUAGGCAACUGUUCUCAAGAGUUGGCAAUCUGGCAAGAAAGCUGAGAGGGUGCCAGCAAUGAUAACAGUAGGUGUGGCAGACACUGCUAGUGCAUCCACCAACAUCAACUCUCCCUGUCUUCUAAUAUAGCACCCUGAUUCUGGCACAUGGCCACCCAGAAAAAAAAAAUAGUACUCCUUAGCCUCCUUUCUCUUAGGAGGGACCAGUCACCUCCAUGCUGGUCAAUGAAGAUGCAAAAAAGAAAUCAGGGAGGCAACUUCUGGCAACACCCUUAAAAAAUUGGGAAGGUACUCCUCUGACCCCUCUUCUCUCUUCCAGCCAUCUACUGUGAUAAGGAUAUGUGAUGCACCAUCCUGGAUUAUGAAGAUGACAGCAAUGUCCUAGGGAUGGAGAAGCAGCAAGCUAAAAGGACCCUGGACACCACAUAGCUUCACAGCAUAGAGCUGCCCUAUACACUCAGACUUUUCAAGACUGAAACACAUAUAUUUCUACCAUUCUAAAGAUCUUUUAAUCAAUUUUAUCUAGGAUCUUGGCUAAAUGUUGUUGGGUCUAUAUCAUAAUUAAUAGAGAUGGCAGGCCACCACUUCAUUUAUCCAGCAAUCCCAUCUUCCCAGAAAACAGCUGUAACAAAGAAACAAAACAGACCCCUAAACAGCCACAGUUGUAUUUUCACUAGAGGCUGAUGCCCUUUAUUCAUAGUAAUGACAUCCAGGCCAAGACUUGGCUGAUGCUUCCUAACCCUCAGUAUACCUAUAUUUCCAAUGAGCACAAUUCCUGAUAUGUUAGCCCAUAGCCAACACAAAGAUGGGUAGAAAG
rnacentral:lncRNA from 1 species